rnacentral:rRNA from 1 species
AUGACAUUCCUGCUGCCGGACGUGAGGUCGGCAGCGGCGCCUACUCGUCCGACUGCACCUGCACCGCAGAAUCAGGACGAGGAGCGCGCGGUACACCUUAUCAAGCUUCUAUAUUCCUGCGCCGCUGCGUUGGACGAAGGGAAGAAGGAGCUGGCAAACAAGGGGCUAGAGAUGAUAUGCAGUCUUGCAACGGACGACGGCGAGCCCGUGCAUCGCCUCGUGGCUUCGUUUGCCGACGCUCUGGCGCUGCGCAUUGUCCAGCCAUGGCAGGGCGUGUGCCGGGCUCUGCAGCUGCCGACGACUACCCCGGCACCGGCGGCCGCCGCAGCACGCCGCCACUUCGCUGUGAUGUGCCCUUUCCUCCGCCUCGCCGGGACCGCAGCGAACUAUGCCAUCAUCGACGCUGUGCAGACCGAGAGGAAUGCCGUGCUCCACGUCGUCGAUCUCGGCGGCGCUGACCCCGGCCAGUGGCUUCUGCUCUUCUGCUUCUUUGCCAACCGCCCUGGGGCGAGCACACACCACCAAAUCCUCCGCCUGACCAUUGUCAACGAGGAGGACGGGUUCCUCUCCAGCACCGCUGCGCUCCUCGCCGGGGAAGCGGAGCACCUGCACAUCGGCUUCCAGUUCCACCCGGUGAAACUCCAUAUCAAUGAGCUGCUCAGCAUCGAGCCCCUCGAUGUCAGGAGCGGCGAAGCACUGGUCGUCGUCUCCACCUUACAGCUCCACCGUCUGCUCGCCGACGAGUUUGCAGAAGCGGCUACUCGUCCUCACGACAGGAAAGGAAAAAGGCAGGCGCAUGCUACCAUGACGAGGGCCGACGCGCUCCUCCGGAACCUAGCUGAGCUAUCGCCGAAGCUUAUGGUAGUGACGGAGCAGGAGGCCAACCACAACGGCGUGCAGUUCACGGACCGGUUCGGGAACGCGCUCAAGUACUACGGGGCUCUGUUCGACGCCCUGGAGGAGAGUGUACCUGCGCGCGGGUCGGCACUGGAGCGGGCGGACGUGGAACGGUGCUUGCUCCUGCCAGAGAUCAGGGAUAUCGUUGCCUGUGACGGCGCGCAGCGUCGGGAGCGCCACGAGCGGAUGGUGGACUGGGCGGCGAGGAUGGAAGCCGCAGGAUUCGUGCAUGCGACAAUGAGCCCCGGCACCGUGGCGCAAACGGCGAUCCUAGCACGUAUGCUGGCCGGCGAUAGCAGGGCGUACAGGGUUUGCGGUGAGAAUGAUGGCCGAUGCAUCUUCAUCUACCGGGACGACGUUCCGAUGUUCUCCGUCUCGACCUGGCGCACGGUGUGA